CAUCAUAUGUGUUGGAGCGGGUGAUUCAUAUAUCGAAGAAAAACGCAUCUAGCUGCGAUAUAUACCACAAUGUGCAUAAAAUGUGAGUGAUAAUAUUUAGAACGCAUAGCGCCACGGUGUAUACUCUGUGGCACGCGUGUCUCAGGGGUGUA
rnacentral:rRNA from 1 species